GCAUAUCAAUAAGCGGAGGAAAAGAAACCCAACAGGGAUUGCCCCAGUAACGGCGAAGUGAAGCGGCAACAGCUCAAAUUUGAAAUCUGGCCCCUAGGGCCCGAGUUGUAAUUUGUAGAGGAUGCUUUUGGUGAGGCGCCGCCCGAGUUCCCUGGAACGGGACGCCAUAGAGGGUGAGAGCCCCGUCUGGCUGGCCGCCGAGCCUCUGUAAAGCUCCUUCGACGAGUCGAGUAGUUUGGGAAUGCUGCUCAAAAUGGGAGGUAUAUGUCUUCUAAAGCUAAAUAUUGGCCAGAGACCGAUAGCGCACAAGUAGAGUGAUCGAAAGAUGAAAAGCACUUUGAAAAGAGAGUUAAACAGUACGUGAAAUUGUUGAAAGGGAAGCGCUUGUGACCAGACUUGGGCUUGGCGGAUCAUCCGGCGUUCUCGCCGGUGCACUCCGCCUCGCCCAGGCCAGCAUCAGUUCGCCGCGGGGGAAAAAGGCUUCGGGAACGUGGCUCCUCCGGGAGUGUUAUAGCCCGCUGCGUAAUACCCUGCGGUGGACUGAGGACCGCGCAUCUUGCAAGGAUGCUGGCGUAAUGGUCAUCAGCGACCCGUCUUGAAACACGGACCAAGGAGUCGUCUUCGUAUGCGAGUGUUCGGGUGUCAAACCCCUACGCGUAAUGAAAGUGAACGCAGGUGAGAGCUUCGGCGCAUCAUCGACCGAUCCUGAUGUUCUCGGAUGGAUUUGAGUAAGAGCAUACGGGGCCGGACCCGAAAGAAGGUGAACUAUGCCUGUAUAGGGUGAAGCCAGAGGAAACUCUGGUGGAGGCUCGCAGCGGUUCUGACGUGCAAAUCGAUUCGUUCAAAAUAUGGGCAAUGGGGGGCGAAAGAACUAAUCGAACCUUCUAGUAGCUGGUUUCCGCCGAA
rnacentral:rRNA from 1 species